UAAACACACAGCAUGCAUGAUAGCACUUGGAAAGCACAAGAUCACCGCCAUCAUCAAGCAAUGAAGAAUGAGCAGUGAUGCUGAUGAGACACAUCCACUUUACCCAGGGGUUUCUAGCAGCCUGGCUUUACAGUGUGCCACACGUCCUGCAAGUCGUUGGUGCAGCCCAUACAAUGAGCAGAUUUUGUGGCUAAUUGUGAAGAAAACCAUUUUUGGAAUGCCUGGGCAGUACAAGCGUGAAUCACAGCAGCAAGCCACUGCUUCUGUCUCCCAACAUGUAUCAUGGAACUAUUUUCUUCCAUCCCUUUUGUAGUACAGUACAUUCUACAUAAUGAAUCAUUUUCAUGCAGAAAUAGAAACAAGUGAUGACUAUGUUCACUUCACAACAGAGAAGAAAGGACUGGCAUCCCAUAAUUAAAUUUCCAGGUUUAGUGACAUUGUAACCAAUCGCUGCACACAUGGCCUUGAGUGUCAGGUGUAGGGAGGUUAAUAGACCCCUAACACAUGUUUCCUAACAAAAUAUGAUUUUUUAAAAUGUCAAAUUCUGGUCCUUGGGGAAGAUCCAAAGUAACACAUUGAUGUUUAGUGCCAUUUUGGAUGUUGUAACACUGAUAAUGCCAUACCUAAAAGCAAAAUGAAAUGCUGCUGUUCACGACAUGGAGCUACGUGCCUACCAUCCCUCUGAAGGGAAUGAGGGGAACAAAGCACCUGGGAAUUGGAUGUACAAUCUACAGCAUUCUGGGGUGUGGGAGGUGAGAGGUUUGUUCAGGCACUUUGUUCAUCUCUUCCAUCAAUCCUAUGUCACACAUGGAUGCUGCUGAGCUGUGUCUCCCAGACAUGAGCUGCUUGGAGCCAGGAGUUCUCAGGAGUAAAGGACCAAACCUGACCUAGUAACCCUGCUGGGAGGCUGGGAAUAUUUACUCACACUUACUGCCCUCCUAACAUGGCUGCUCAGGUUCUCUCCAGUCUGCAGCACUCACCUGCUUGGGAUGUGGGCAGGCAAUGCCUAAUCCUUCCUGCAGAAGAUCCCACAGGGAUUCCCUUAGGUGCCGAGCUCAGCCCACAAUAAAUAUCCAUUUUGUGGAGCA
rnacentral:lncRNA from 1 species